GCCAAUGAAACAGUGGCAGUGAAUGAGACCCCCCAAUGCUCUCUCAGACCCAGCCAACCAUCUAAACACAAAAGGACUCCAGAAACACUCCUGUGAUGCAGUGGGACAGGUCAAGAGCACUCUACCCUACAUUUAUUGAGGUUGGCAGAAGCUGGGGCUAACAGCAGGAGCUCAUCCCGCUUCCUGGAUUUGAACCGCCGACCUUUCUGUCAGCAAGUUCAGCAGCUUAGCAGUUUAAACUGCUGCACUACCAGAAGCUCACAAAACAAAGAAUAAACCAGACAAAAAACCAUGAAGACUUGAACAGGAAUUAAAAUCCAGAACCUUGGAACUUAAACAUGAACAAGACUCAAAAUCCAGAAACUUGAACAUUUGAAACAAGGCCAUAGAACUUAAGAGUUGUUUUCACUUGAAAUGCAACAUUGUUCUCACAAAGAGCAGUCCGCUUGAAGCCCACUUAUAAGCCUCAAUUCCCUCCCAUGACAUCACUCCUCGUACCCCUGGUUUUUUGCUGCUUAUCUCUAAGUCACUCAGAAAAGCGAGUCUAUCUCUUUUUCACACACUCAGCUGCUCUGACAUGGGGGAAAAAUCACACCUCCACAUUCCUCUCAGGAGCAAAUACUGGCAGAUUCUCAUUGGGAACAGAUUUCAUUUUUUCUAAUACCCCGAGAACUAUAAGGAAAUUCAAUAACACAUCUCUCCAUGCCAGUUCAAUUCCCCCAAAACCCCUUCCUGAGACCCCACACAACCCCCUUCCUCAUCAUUUGACACAUCAGAUUUUUCACAAACCACAACAGGAAGAAAGAGAAGGAAGGUAUGAGAAAGGAUGGGAAAAGGAAGACAGGAGGAAGAAAGAAAAAGAAGAGAAAGAAAGAAGGAAAUAAAGGAAAGGGGAAUGGUAUGAGGAUGGGGAAGGAAAAAGGAGAAAGAAUGGAAGAGAAAGGAAGAGGGAAACGUAGGGAUGAGGAAAGGGAGUUAAGAAAAAAGAAGGGAAGAGAAAUAAAGGAAGAAAAAGAAAAGAAAAAGUGAAAGAAGAGUGAGAGGUAUAUUUAAGAAAGCAAGAGAAAAGGGAAAGAAAGAAAAGAGGAAGAAGAUGUAUCAGGGAAAUGGAGGAAGAAAAGAAAGAGCCACAAAGAGGGGCUGCCCACCUUUGACAGAGCAUUGCUGUGGAGACAUUGUGAAGUAGGCCUUCUCAGAGCUGAAGAUGGGAAAAAGGAGGCGUACAGCAGUCCCUCCGACACCCAGGCAAUGCAGGUAUAUAUGCUAGCAGCCAAUUAAAACCAUUUUCUUUCAACUAUA